CUUCAUCUUCACUAAUGUUUUUUUGGGGAGGAAACUUGGUAAACAAACUCUUUACAGAAGAGGAGCUACAGCAUGUGGGCUAGGCAGAAUGAUAAUGAAUAAUUCAGUAUGAUGGAUGAAUGAAAUGAUGGAUGGGGAGAGCUGAAAUUGUUAGUGAUGUUUUACCUGCCAUUGCCACAUACUUAGAUGUCUCCAGUGCUAAGUGGGAUAGCAAAUGUUGGCAAGCUAUGUUUCCUUGAUCAGGACUCUACAGGUCUAGAACAAAAGCUACAUCGGGUUUUUAUUUUUAUUUUUCCCUUCACCGUGAUGUCUAAUCUCUUCCCAUUCCCUUGCAUUUGACACAAACAAGGAUGUCUUUCAGUUACAGGACACUGGUCUGUGUGCUUGAGCUCUGGGCAUUUUUUCAGUACAUAACAUCAAACAAAAAUGGGUGUACAGCAGUCACAGAAACAUCAAAUACUUUUUUUUUUUUUUUUAAGGUGGUAGAAGAGUUGCAUCCCGUGAAGGCAUUUGUCUGGAAACAAGGAACGUCCACCAUCCUCCAAAUGUCCCAUUGGCCUUCUACUAGGCUGGUAGAACAGGUCACAAAGCUGCAAAGAAAACAGAGGAGACCUUUACCUGUAGGAUGAAGGAGGGAUGAGAUGGCUGAAGUGGAAGCAGAGUCGUUUUGAAGCAUUCGUAUCUUCAGAUGAGUGAUGGCUCCCUGCAUCUUAAUCCUCUUGUUGGUUAGACUGAUCAAGGUGGAAUUAUUCAUCCAUCCACUGGACUCCAUGCUCUAGUGACAGCCCUAUGCCAGUCCUGGAGGGACAAAAGCAUGAGCUCCAGCACUGGUGAAGCCUGGUUUCCUGUGGAUGCUCCUCGAGGCCAUUCUCCUGGAGAAGCCUAGAAGGGACUUGGUUUUAUUCAAAGAUGAAAGAAGACAUUUUUUUCUUCCUUUACAAAAAGAAAAAGUUUUUCAUUUGGAGGCUGAAUAUAUACAUGAUGUGAAGAAGGAUCUCAGUGUGAUAAGAGCGGCAUCUUUCCGUCGUGUGGCUGGGAUAUAUGAGCCACAAAGAGCAGUACUAAUGGGAUGGGGAAGUCCUACUCUUCCUGAUUCUGCCCUAUUCAGUUCUAAUUGUGCACUGCCAAACAUCAUGACAUUGCCAGAAUAUAACAAUGUCAAGGUAAAAAUUCACAGUAGAAAGUGCAAAAAUGUCCAAACCCAUUAACAGACCUUUCAAAGCAUAAAGGAUUUCAGCAAGUGAGAAGGAGCUAAUGUGAUGGAAAUAAUUAUAGGCCUAUAGUAUCAUGCUUGCAUUUAACUGAAGUAUAUCAGAAUUGCAAAGGACACUAUUUGAAAUAUACUUAGCAAUGUAGAGCAUAGAUACUAUUAAUAGCAUUAAAG
rnacentral:lncRNA from 1 species